rnacentral:rRNA from 1 species
AAUCAUUAUUAGAAUUUUAUAUAAUUAUUCACGAAAUAAAUUGAGCUAAAUACUUAUUUUUCUUGGGCUAUAUAAUUAUAUGUUACAAAAUAUCAUUACUAUAAAUAUUUAGGGGUGAAAGGCCUAUCAAAUUUUAUGAUAUCUUGAUGUAUAUAAAAUAUAUUAAGUAUUUUCAAGUCAACUAUUGAAUGAUUAGGUUCAAUAGACACAUAAUUUUUUAUUUAUAUUUGUUAAUUUUUUUAACUAAAAUUAAUUCUUAAUUUUCAGAAUAUUAAUCAAAUUUUUAUAUGAAAUAAAAUAUACUAUAAAUUAAUAAUUUAAUUUAAUUAUAUAUAAUGUAAUUAUUAGUAACAUAUUAUUAAGCCAAAUUAAAGAAUUCGGCAAAAAUUUUUUCAACUGUUUAUCAAAAACAUAGCUUAUUGAUAUUAUAAUAAGUAGUCCCUGCUCAAUGGUAACUCUUAAUAGCCGCAGUACCUUGACUGUGCAAAGGUAGCAUAAUCAAUUGGCUUAUAAUUGAAGUCUGGAAUGAAUGGGUAACAUGGAAAAAAACUGUUUUAUUUUAGUAAAUCUGAAAUUACUUAUAAAGUGAAAAUACUUUAUUCAAUAUAAUAGACGAGAAGACCCUAGAAAUUUGUAUUUAAUACUUUUGUUGGGGCGACAUGGUAACAUAAAACUUACCUAAAAAAAUAUAAAUCUUAUAAGAUAUAUAAUUUAAAUUACUCUAGGGAUAACAGCAUAAUAUAUAAAAGUUUGUGACCUCGAUGUUGGACUAGGUAAUUAAAUAUUUAAAAGAUAUUUUAAUUUGCUCUGUUCGAGCAUUUUUAGCACCUACAU